rnacentral:rRNA from 1 species
GAUGGGGAUGCGUUCCAUUAGGUAGUAGGCGGGGUAACGGCCCACCUAGCCAACGAUGGAUAGGGGUUCUGAGAGGAAGGUCCCCCACAUUGGAACUGAGACACGGUCCAAACUCCUACGGGAGGCAGCAGUGAGGAAUAUUGGUCAAUGGACGAGAGUCUGAACCAGCCAAGUAGCGUGAAGGAUGAAGGUCCUACGGAUUGUAAACUUCUUUUAUAAGGGAAUAAACCCUCCCACGUGUGGGAGCUUGUAUGUACCUUAUGAAUAAGCAUCGGCUAACUCCGUGCCAGCAGCCGCGGUAAUACGGAGGAUGCGAGCGUUAUCCGGAUUUAUUGGGUUUAAAGGGAGCGCAGACGGGUCGUUAAGUCAGCUGUGAAAGUUUGGGGCUCAACCUUAAAAUUGCAGUUGAUACUGGCGUCCUUGAGUGCGGUUGAGGUGUGCGGAAUUCGUGGUGUAGCGGUGAAAUGCUUAGAUAUCACGAAGAACUCCGAUUGCGAAGGCAGCACACUAAUCCGUAACUGACGUUCAUGCUCGAAAGUGUGGGUAUCAAACAGGAUUAGAUACCCUGGUAGUCCACACGGUAAACGAUGGAUACUCGCUGUUGGCGAUAUACUGUCAGCGGCUUAGCGAAAGCGUUAAGUAUCCCACCUGGGGAGUA